rnacentral:rRNA from 1 species
GAUGAACGCUGGCGGCGUGCUUAACACAUGCAAGUCGAACGGAAAGGCCAGUGCUUGCACUAGUGCUCGAGUGGCGAACGGGUGAGUAACACGUGGGUGAUCUGCCCUGCACUUUGGGAUAAGCCUGGGAAACUGGGUCUAAUACCAGAUAGGACCAUGCUUUGGAUGGUGUGGUGGAAAGUUUUUUCGGUGUGGGAUGAGCUUGCGGCCUAUCAGCUUGUUGGUGGGGUAAUGGCCUACCAAGGCGUCGACGGGUAGCCGGCCUGAGAGGGUGUACGGCCACAUUGGGACUGAGAUACGGCCCAGACUCCUACGGGAGGCAGCAGUGGGGAAUAUUGCACAAUGGGCGCAAGCCUGAUGCAGCGACGCCGCGUGGGGGAUGACGGCCUUCGGGUUGUAAACUCCUUUCGCAACUGACGAAGCUUUUUGUGACGGUAGGUUGAGAAGAAGCACCGGCUAACUACGU